GCUCCUCGGGUGACGAGUGGCGGACGGGUGAGUAAUGUCUGGGGAUCUGCCCGAUAGAGGGGGAUAACCACUGGAAACGGUGGCUAAUACCGCAUAACGUCGCAAGACCAAAGAGGGGGACCUUCGGGCCUCUCACUAUCGGAUGAACCCAGAUGGGAUUAGCUAGUAGGCGGGGUAACGGCCCACCUAGGCGACGAUCCCUAGCUGGUCUGAGAGGAUGACCAGCCACACUGGAACUGAGACACGGUCCAGACUCCUACGGGAGGCAGCAGUGGGGAAUAUUGCACAAUGGGCGCAAGCCUGAUGCAGCCAUGCCGCGUGUAUGAAGAAGGCCUUCGGGUUGUAAAGUACUUUCAGCGGGGAGGAAGGCAGUGAGGUUAAUAACCUUACUGAUUGACGUUACCCGCAGAAGAAGCACCGGCUAACUCCGUGCCAGCAGCCGCGGUAAUACGGAGGGUGCAAGCGUUAAUCGGAAUUACUGGGCGUAAAGCGCACGCAGGCGGUCUGUUAAGUCAGAUGUGAAAUCCCCGGGCUUAACCUGGGAACUGCAUUUGAAACUGGCAGGCUUGAGUCUCGUAGAGGGGGGUAGAAUUCCAGGUGUAGCGGUGAAAUGCGUAGAGAUCUGGAGGAAUACCGGUGGCGAAGGCGGCCCCCUGGACGAAGACUGACGCUCAGGUGCGAAAGCGUGGG
rnacentral:rRNA from 2 species